rnacentral:rRNA from 1 species
AUGGCCGUGAGCUUAUAUGGGCGUGCACAGGCUUACAGCGCCGCGCUCCCGCACGCCCCGCUCACCCACUUCCUCACGUCGCACGGUCCCUGGAUCACGCAUCCGACGUGCACAAACACAGUCGACGUGAUCCCGAGUUCAGCGCCCAACGCAGUCAUCUCUCCACUUUUCUCGCCAACUAACUACAGCCCGCACGCACGCACGGACACACACACCUGGCCGCGUCCGCCACGCUCCCGAUCCGUCCUACGUGCACACACGCACGCCCGACACGAUCGCCAUGGCUUAUGCCGAACACUCACCCCCCUAAGCCAUGAACUCAGAGAAGACCGACGUCUUCGACGCCGCCGUCUGCCAGCAGCGCGCGCUCCGUGCCGCCGUCGUCGUCGUCGUCGUUGUAGCCGCCACCGCCUUUACGUUGCUACCACGCCUGCUACCGUGCCGCCGUGCCCUUCGCGCGCACUCCCCACAUCCCCGCGCUCCCGGCCCGCGCUCCCGUCGCGCACUUACGCGGUCUGCGCAACCAGGUCCAGCGCCUCAACGCGGUCCACUCCCGCGGUCCCGACGCGCCCGACGCGUCCGGUGCGCACCUAUAACACGCACUGGUCGCGUCCGGCUCGUCGCCGCGCUUAUUGCCCUUGCACCGCUGCGCCGUCAACCGCAGCGCAGCGCCUUCACGGUCGUCGCGCCGAGCCGCCGCAGCCUUUGCGCCACCACGCAGGUCCUCCGCGGCCUCCUCGUCUCCGCGAUCACCGUUGCUCGUUGCGCGCACGGCAUCACCGUGCAUGGCCGCGCAUCGCAGCCGACGCGUCCAUGUCCGCCGCGCUCGCCGCAGACGCCAUGGCCGCAUCCUCCAUCUCCGCCGCGCUCGCCGUGCGCGCCGCGGACGCGGACGCACGCCACGGUCGCCCCCGAACCUGUGGCUCUGUAUACCAAAUGUUGGUGUCUAUCCUAGCUCUCUCUCGUCUACCUGAACCCUCUCGCACGAACGAUCAGAGGAAGGAGAUAGGAACAAGAAGACACAGUGGACUUGGUUGUUUUCUGGCGCACAUACGCCGCCGCACGAACGGCACACUUCCUUGA